UCACUUUAAGAACACUUUCACUGCAGAUUUGACAAAAUACAAAAGAAGGUACCAAUGUGAGAUUUCUGAAGAUAGCCACAGCAUUCAACCCAAGCUUUAAGAAUCUGAAGAGCCUUCCAAAGUCUGAGAGGGACAAAGUGUAAAA